GGCAUACCCAAAGUUACAUCUACAUCUGACGAUGACUCUCCACCCAAGAUAACAUGCUACGUCCUCCCCAUCAAAAAGUCUUCAGUCCAGUCAAAGAUUUCACUUGAUAUGUAAUAUGAUCAUACUUUUGACAAUAAGCAUAGGUGCAGUACUGAGUCAAAUGCUUUUCAGAAAUUAUGAAACACUGCAUCUAUCUGGUUGCCCUGAUCCAAAGCUUUCAGGCAAGUUGGGUUUCACACACUCGAUGUUUUCAAAAUCCAUGCUAUUGGCAUUGAGAAGGUCAUUCUGUUCAAGAUACCUCAUUAUGUUUGAGCUCAGAAUAUGUUAUAAGAUUCUACAACAAAUCAGUGUCAAGUAUAUUGAACAGUGGUUUUGUGGGUCACUUCUACUACCCUCUUGAGGCUUCCCACUUGCCAUUCCAUCACUCAUUGUCAAAUGCAUGCAGUCUGCAACUGGCAGAGAAAAAAGCCAAGGGGACAUUGAGACAGCUUCAUAAGACACAAGGUAAGCAAAUCUCCUCCUGUUGAGCCAGGAAAAUUGCAAGAAGUUUGAUGGGCACUCUCAUUAACAGUUGACUGAUGUAGCCCUCCACAAGCAACAAUUUGCUAAGAACAACUUGUACUGUUGACAUGUCUGACACAGUAAUGUGUCACAGCAGGAACAUUCCACAUCUCAUUAUAAUUAGUUAAGUAUUUAGGAAGGGGAGGAUGCACAACAAGGCCUCCUCUUGUACAAAUCAUCCCUUAAACACACUGAAAUUCCCUGGCAGACCUCUUUGUUUGCUGUCUGACCAGGUGGUACAAAUUUCUCACAGACAAUGCCUUUGCAGCCAAAAUACACAUCUUGACCUCUGUCUAGUAAAUGCGCACUUUUCUGUAUGAGGAGACCCUUUGUCCAACCACUGUAACAAUUGUGUUCAUCAGUUGUUACAAUGGUCUUAAGGAAGUGAACAUUACCAUUUGCAGUAGCAAGCAGUUCCUAGCUGUUUAAACACAGAUCUGCUUCCUACUGUUAAUCAACAAAUGCAGAAUGAAUUUGUGCUGACAUGAUGAUCACAAGUUUUUCACUCAAAAUUUGAUGGCAUGAUCCUACACUGAUGCUCAGUCAUCUGCAGCUUCUUGAGCAGUUAAUUGAUGAUUUCUACAGAUUACACCACAAUCUUUCUGUCAUAAUCAUCAUCUGUUGACGUGGAAGGUUGUCCAGACCUGGGAUCCUCACUGAUCUUCAUUCCACCCUGUUCAAAAUGCUUACACCACUUAUAGUACUGUGCAACUCAUACCCUCCCCAUAUACACACACACUGAUGGCAGGGUGACAGCAGCAAAGCAGCCAGAAGCAUUUGCACCAUGUAUGAGGAUAAUUUCAUUGGACAGAGCAUUGCAAGAAAAUCAUUUUCUCAUUUUAAGGAUGGUUGUUUUGACAUUAAUGACCCUCCACAUUCAAGAAGACCUUUGGGGUUUGAUGAAAAUCAUUUAAAUGCAUUCAACCACAACUAUCCACAUCAGUGUACGGUACUCAAGAACCUGCAAAUGCAAUGAACUAUGAUCAUUCCAUUAUCAUGCAACAUUUGCAUGCAAUGGGGAAGGUUAAAAAAUCAGGUGUAUGUGUAAUGUAUGCUCUAAGCUAAAAUCACAAAAAGCAACAGGUGGCCAUGUGCACCUCUGCUUGCUUGUCAUCAUUUGGCUCAUGAACAACACCUUGCAGAUGCAAUCUAAGAACAAUGACCAGGAAGACUGCAUGAAAUGAUGUUACUCCACAAUAAUGCCUGCCUGCAUUCUACUAGACUGACAAAAAAUGCUACAUGGGAGGAACUUCCUUUCUGGAUGAAAAUGGGGACCAAAAAUGGCUGGAUGAGUACUUUGCCACAAAACCUUGUGAUUUCUACAGUCAUGGAAUUGAAAAGUUACCCCAGGAUUGGUAGACUGUUGUUGUGUGAUUCCAGUUAAGUCAAGAACAUCGUCAUCUAUGUCUACACUCCUCAACCCACCAUGAAGUGCAUGGCAGAGAGUACGCCCCUUUGUACCAGUUAUUAGGGGUUUUUCCUGUUCCAUUCAUGUAUGGGAUGUGGGAAGAAUGUCUGUUUAAAUGUCUCUGUGUGUGCUGUAGUUAAUCUAAUCUUGUCCUCAUGAUCCCAUGGGAGAGAUAUGGAGAGGGUUGCAGUAUAGUCCUAGAACCAUAAUUUAAAACUGCUCAUUGAAACAUUGCAAGUAGGCUUUCCAGAAUACGCUAUGUGUAUUGCCAAGAGGAUGGUUGGUUGGUUUGGGGUAGGGGACCAAACAACAUGCUCAUUGGUCCCAUUGGUUUAGAGAAGGAUAGCAAAGGAAGUCGGCCAUGCAGUUUCAAAGGAACCAUCCCAGCAUUUGCCUGAAGUGAUUUAGGAAAAUCACAGAAAACCUAAAUCAGGAUGGCUGGACUCAGCUUUGAAAUGUCAUCCUGAUGAAUGUGAGUCCAACAUGCUAACCACUGCACCACCUCGUUCAGUGUACCUUCAAGAGUGUGUCAGUUCAGUUUCUCCAGCAUCUUUGUGAUACUUUCCCAUGGUUCACACAAAACUGCAACCAUUCAUGCUGCCCUUUACUGUAUAUGUGCAAAAUGGUGCAUUAUACAUUCCAAGAGCAAGCUAAGAUGGUUUUCAUUUAUGGUCAAGUCAAGAGAGGGUUUGUCAUGCCACUUACCCUGGAGAAUACUUUUUACCCAUUUUUUGCCAUGUGUGAGGGCAUGAGUCCUUUCAGAGAGAUGAACUACACGGACAGCUGGUGGAUGUUUGUGCAUCAGCUUAGGAACAUAAUAUUGAUACCAACUCCAGUACAAACACCAUGCAUGUGGAUUGCCAGUCUGGAGUAAUCCAAAGAGCAGUCUUGUGCUUCCUGUGUGAAAAUGAUACUGUCUUGCAAUACAUGUAGGGAUAAAUGGUGGCAAAUUUUCCUCCACAAGAAAGAUUCUGUCACUAGCAAAUGUGACAGAUAACAAUCAAAAUGGAAUAUCUGUCAUAAGUUCCUUUCACUGCUGCAGUAACCUUUGGGAGGGAUGUCAUCUUAAACAUAACCAGUCAUCAUCCAUGUUCUACAGAAAAUCCCUGGAAAUGGUUAAACUGCCACAUCAUUAACAAUUUAGAAUCAGUGUUUGGAAAGGGAUUAUUGGUGACCAUCUACCAGAACAUUUGUUUCACCACAACACCUUAAAGGACAUUUGUAUAUGGAAUUCCUUCCUCUUUUCAUGGAGAAUGUGUCUUAGGCAAGGUAAAAUGGCUGAUGCAUGAUGGAGCACCACUCCACUUCCACAUCACCAUCUGUCAACACUUCAACAACACCCUCCCCAGGAUGAGGAAGUCAUGUGCCUGGCCACCCUGAUCACUGGAAUUAAACCCUUAUGAUUUUUAUUUAUAGAGGUAUCUAAAAAGUGUAGUGUACAUUGAACCAGUUGUGAAUGUGCAAACCCUUGAACAGUGUGUCCAUGUGGCCAGCAUCAGCAACCACAUAUAACAAUCAAAAGAGUGAGACAGUCCAUAAUGUGACAUGUGAAUGCUUCAGUUGCUUCCCAUGUGUGCAAUUUGAACAUGUUUUGUACCAUGGAAGAAAUUAAUACCAUGUUAUGUAUUGCAGCCCAAUGUGUUAACUUUGAACAUUUUCUGCACCAUGGAAGAAUUUAUUACCAUGUAAAGUACCAGUACUGAUAACUUUAUUGCUGACCUCUUUCUGGACAUACUACAUUGAUAUGAAUAUCUUUAUUCCAUUUGCUGUCAGAAAUCAUCUCAUGAAAUU